GACAAUUCUUCCACAGAAAAUCCACAAACAAAAGGCAAACAACGAAAAUGGAUGUAUAAACAAAUAGAAUGCCAAGUACACCCCAGUCUCCAAACUUUUCCAUACGACAAGAUUUUAAGGAGGAGGACAACAAAAGACGGUGUUGAGGAAGUCAAAGUUAAAUGGAAGCCUUGCUCAGGAUGUGGUAUGAAAUGGGCGGACACCUGGGAGCCAUACAGCCAUACAUUCGCAGAGUAAGGAUCCAUGUUCCAUGUUUAUGGGGUUGCAUUAAGGACCUGUUGCCUGGACCUGUUGCCUGUCCUUAAAACCCAU